rnacentral:rRNA from 1 species
AACGAACGCUGGCGGCAGGCCUAACACAUGCAAGUCGAGCGAAGCCUUCGGGCUUAGCGGCGGACGGGUGAGUAACGCGUGGGAACGUGCCCUUUGGUACGGAAUAGCCCCGGGAAACUGGGGCUAAUACCGCAUGUGUCCUGAGGGACAAAGCCGUGAGGCGCCUUGAGAGCAGCCUGCGUCCGAUUAGGUAGUUGGUGGGGUAAUGGCCUACCAAGCCUACGAUCCAUAGCUGGUUUGAGAGGAUGAUCAGCCACACUGGGACUGAGACACGGCCCAGACUCCUACGGGAGGCAGCAGUGGGGAAUCUUAGACAAUGGGGGAAACCCUGAUCUAGCCAUGCCGCGUGAGCGAUGAAGGCCUUAGGGUUGUAAAGCUCUUUCAGUGGGGAAGAUAAUGACGGUACCCACAGAAGAAGCCCCGGCUAACUCCGUGCCAGCCGCCGCCGUAACAC